rnacentral:rRNA from 1 species
CCUACGGGGGGCUGCAGUGGGGAAUAUUGGACAAUGGGCGCAAGCCUGAUCCAGCAAUGCCGCGUGUGUGAAGAAGGCCUGCGGGUUGUAAAGCACUUUAAGCAGGAAAGAAGGGGUGAACGUUAAUACCUUUCAUCAUUGACGUUACCUGCAGAAUAAGCACCGGCUAACUCCUUGCCAGCAGCCGCGGUAAUACGGAGGGUGCGAGCGUUAAUCGGGAUUACGUAGGGUAAUUCACGAGUCCGCCGUGAAAGCCCUGGGCUUAACCUGGGAACUGCGGUGGAUACUGUCGGGCUAGAGUGUGGUAGAGGGGAGUGGAAUUUCCGGUGUAGCAGUGAAAUGCGUAGAGAUCGGAAGGAACACCAGUGGCGAAGGCGGCUCCCUGGACUAACACUGACGCUGAGGUGCGAAAGCGUGGGGAGCAAACAGGAUUAGAUACCCGGGUAGUC